UCUGCCUGGAAAGGCGGAGAUCAAAGCUGGGGAUCGCAAGACCUGGCGCUGAGGGCCCGCGCCUGAUUAGCUAGUUGGUAGGGUAACGGCCUACAAGACGAUCAGUAUCCGGCCUGAGAGGGCGGACGGACACACUGGGAUGAACGGCCCAGACUCCUACGGGAGGCAGCAGUGGGGAAUUGUUCGAAUCGCAAGCCUGACGACGCAACGCCGCGUGGAGGACGAAGAUCUUGGGUAAACUCCUGUCGAGCGGGAAGAACACCCAUCCAAUGAAUAAUGGGGUACCGCUAAAGGAA
rnacentral:rRNA from 1 species